rnacentral:rRNA from 1 species
CAGUCGCCGCGGGAAUACGAAGGGGGCUAGCGUUGUUCGGAAUUACUGGGCGUAAAGCGCACGUAGGCGGAUAUUUAAGUCAGGGGUGAAAUCCCAGAGCUCAACUCUGGAACUGCCUUUGAUACUGGGUAUCUUGAGUAUGGAAGAGGUGAGUGGAAUUCCGAGUGUAGAGGUGAAAUUCGUAGAUAUUCGGAGGAACACCAGUGGCGAAGGCGGCUCACUGGUCCAUUACUGACGCUGAGGUGCGAAAGCGUGGGGAGCAAACAGGAUUAGAGACCCCAGUAGUCCCUGUCUCUUAUAC